AGAAGACCCAGCAGCAACAAUAACCACAACAACAAGGAGGUUACUAGGAACAGCAGCAGAAGAAGAUCAUCGUCCAAAUCCUCUGCUCCUCUGCUCGAGUUGGUCUGUUUGUCGAGGGAGGAAUCCAAGUUCUAAUACUAACCAAUCUUGGUCGAAAUCUACAAGGGAUUCUAAAAGUGGGUCUUGAAGAAAAUCGAUGUCAAUGCUAUAGGAUAUCGUUACUGUUUUGUUGAACUUCAGAAGUUGGAGAAACUUCAGGAAGAGGAUCUUGUUGAAAGGCCGUUCAAGAAGAAACAGAUCAGGAUCAGGUUUCCUGAAUGGGGAAGAAGUGGGAGAUUUGCUCCAUU